rnacentral:misc_RNA from 1 species
AAGUAAAGUCGUAACAAGGUUCGUAGGUGACCUGCGGAAGGAUCAUUAAUAAGUUCCUGAAUUAAAGAAUAAAUAAUAUCCUACCCUAUGUGAAUUUGUUGUUUGAAUAAUUUUUUAAAAAUUAUUGAUUGUCUUUCCUGUUGAAUUAGAGUGUCUUCGGAUAUGAAAUUCACAGGGAUAGUCAGUAAUUUUUUAAAAGACCUUUUUUAAAUUAAACUUUUGUAUUCAUUUGUCUAAAAUUAUUUUAUAAUAUAAAAAACUUUGACAAUGGAUCUCUUGGUUCUCGCACGAUGAGACGCAGCAAAUGCGAUAAGUAGUGUGAAUUGCAGAAUACGUGAAUCAUCGAAUCUUCGAACGCAUAUUGCACUUUUUAGUUACUAAAAAAGUAUGUCUGUUUGAUAUAGUAAUAUUCUCAUAAAACUAUUGUUUUAUGUUAUGAGUGUUUUACAACGAUACAAGUUGUUCACUUAAAUUUUUUUUUAAAAUUGAAAUUUUCUAAUUUAAAUAAAUUGGAUAAAUUUCCCGUAAAAGGAAUAACUAACAUUUUAAUUUAAAAUAAAAGAAAAGUAUUCAUAAGGAAAUUUAACAAAAUAACUGAUCUCAAUCAGAUAGAGUACCGCUGAACUUAGCAUAUCAUAAGCGGAGAAAGAAACUAACAAGGAUUCCUUAGUAACGGCGAGUGAAGCGGGAAGAGCUCAAAUUGAAUCUUCAAGGUUUACCUUGACGAAUUGUAGUUUAAGAAGUGUUUUCUGUUGAAGUUUGGUAAAGUUCUUGGAAUAGACAUCAUAGAGGUGAGAAUCCGUAUUGACAUUAUUUUCAGCUGUGUGAUACACUUCAAGAGUCGGAUUGUUGGAUGCAGUCCAAAAUGGGUGUAAUUUCAUCUAAAGCUAAUAUUGGCGAGAGACGAUAGCGAACAAGUACGUGAGGAAAGAUGAAAAGAACUUGAAAGAGAGUUAAACAGUACGUGAAUUGUCAAAGGAAGCGUUUGACACCAGUGUUGUUUCUCGAAAUCAAUUAAAAAAGUUGAUUUUGUUGUAUUGACCUUACAGCUUCUUCAUCUUUUCUGCUUUUUUAAUGCACUUUUCGUUUACAAGUCACAUCAGUUCUUUUGUUGUAAAAGUCAUUGGAAGUGCUUCUUUCGGAAAGUGUUUAUAGCCUUUGAUCCUGCAAUCGGAGAGACUGAGUCUGCAGCGUAGAUCUCGGUUAGAUACAUUUGUGCUAAUUAUAGCUUUUAUAGACAACUGUUGACUAUAUUAGUCUGUAGCUUACUCGCUUAUGCUAUUUACUACGCUUAGGAUGUUGAG